rnacentral:rRNA from 1 species
AACGCUGGCGGCACGCCUAACACAUGCAAGUCGAGCGAGAAAGUGACUUCGGUCGCGAGUAAAGCGGCGAACGGGUGAGUACAACGUGGAUAAUCUACCCUAAGGUCUGGGACAACCCCGAGAAAUCGGGGCUAAUACCGGAUAAGACCACAGUAUCCAAGGAUACAGCGGUAAAAGAUUUAUCGCCUUUGGAUGAGUCCACGCCCCAUCAGGUAGUUGGUAAGGUAAAGGCUUACCAAGCCUAAGACGGGUAGCCGGCCUUAGCGGGUGAACGGCCACAUGGGGACUGAGACACGGCCCUGACUCCUACGGGAGGCAGCAGUGGGGAAUAUUGGGCAAUGGGCGAAAGCCUGACCCAGCGAUGCCGCGUGAGGGAUGAAGGCCUUCGGGUUGUAAACCUCUGUCAGGAGGGACGAUGGGACUUUGUCUUGACGGUACCUCCAGAGGAAGCCCCGGCUAACUCCGUGCCAGCAGCCGCGGUAAUACGGAGGGGCAAGCGUUGCUCGGAAUUACUGGGGCGUAAAGGGUCCGCAGGCUGUCAGGCAAGUUGGUUGUGAAAUCCCAAGGCUUA